GCGCAUUUAUAAUAAAAAUAAAUGUUUACAUAUUGAAUUAUGAAUUCAAUUACAAAACUGGAAAAUACAAAUAUCUUCUAAUGGACAUAAUUUGUGUACAAAUUUGCAUUUGACUAGUAUAAUAUGAUAACCAAGGUUGAGUAAUGACACCACAAUAUAUCUUUUGGUGAAAUCUGACAACCUUCUUACAACUGCACCUGGAAAAAAAUCAUUAAACAAUGUAAGUAAACAUAUUUCCCUAUGCAAGUGGAUUAAACCUGAACAAAAUAAUUUCCAUAAACGUGUCCAAUACAAAUGACGCGAUGGUGUUUAAAUCAC
rnacentral:lncRNA from 1 species